AGUGAACGCUGGCGGUAGGCCUAACACAUGCAAGUCGAACGGCAGCACAGUAAGAGCUUGCUCUUACGGGUGGCGAGUGGCGGACGGGUGAGGAAUACAUCGGAAUCUACUUUUUCGUGGGGGAUAACGUAGGGAAACUUACGCUAAUAUCGCAUACGACCUACGGGUGAAAGCAGGGGAUCUUCGGACCUUGCGCGAUUGAAUGAGCCGAUGUCGGAUUAGCUAGUUGGCGGGGUAAAGGCCCACCAAGGCGACGAUCCGUAGCUGGUCUGAGAGGAUGAUCAGCCACACUGGAACUGAGACACGGUCCAGACUACUACGGGAGGCAGCAGUGGGGAAUAUUGGACAAUGGGCGCAAGCCUGAUCCAGCCAUACCGCGUGGGUGAAGAAGGCCUUCGGGUUGUAAAGCCCUUUUGUUGGGAAAGAAAAGCAGCAGGUUAAUACCCCGCUGUUCUGACGGUACCCAAAGAAUAAGCACCGGCUAACUUCGUG
rnacentral:rRNA from 1 species